GCCGACUUAGCUCAGCAGGCAGCGCACUUCCAUGGUAAGGAAGGGGUCUCCGGUUCGUUUCCGGCAGUCGGCUCCA
rnacentral:tRNA from 1 species